GAUGACGUAUACGGUGUGACACCUGCCCGGUGCCGGAAGGUUAAUUGAUGGGGUUAUCCUUAGGGAGAAGCUCUUGAUCGAAGCCCCGGUAAACGGCGGCCGUAACUAUAACGGUCCUAAGGUAGCGAAAUUCCUUGUCGGGUAAGUUCCGACCUGCACGAAUGGUGUAACCAUGGCCACGCUGUCUCCACCCGAGACUCAGUGAAAUUGAAAUCGCAGUGAAGAUGCUGUGUACCCGCGGCUAGACGGAAAGACCCCGUGAACCUUUACUACAGCUUGGCACUGAACAUUGAACCUACAUGUGUAGGAUAGGUGGGAGACUUUGAAGCAGCGACGCUAGUUGUUGUGGAGUCAACCUUGAAAUACCACCCUUGUAGUUUUGAUGUUCUAACGUUGGCCCCUGAAUCGGGGUUACGGACAGUGCCUGGUGGGUAGUUUGACUGGGGCGGUCUCCUCCUAAAGAGUAACGGAGGAGCACGAAGGUUGGCUAAGUACGGUCGGACAUCGUACGGUUAGUGUAAUGGUAGAAGCCAGCUUAACUGCGAGACAGACACGUCGAGCAGGUACGAAAGUAGGUCAUAGUGAUCCGGUGGUUCUGAAUGGAAGGGCCAUCGCUCAACGGAUAAAAGGUACUCCGGGGAUAACAGGCUGAUACCGCCCAAGAGUUCAUAUCGACGGCGGUGUUUGGCACCUCGAUGUCGGCNAGGCUGAUACCGCCCAAGAGUUCAUAUCGACGGCGGUGUUUGGCACCUCGAUGUCGGCUCAUCACAUCCUGGGGCUGAAGUCGGUCCCAAGGGUAUGGCUGUUCGCCAUUUAAAGUGGUACGCGAGCUGGGUUUAGAACGUCGUGAGACAGUUCGGUCCCUAUCUGCCGUGGGCGUUUGAGAAUUGAGAGGGGUUGCUCCUAGUACGAGAGGACCGGAGUGAACGAACCGCUGGUGUUCGGGUUGUCAUGCCAAUGGCAUUGCCCGGUAGCUACGUUCGGAACUGAUAAGCGCUGAAAGCAUCUAAGCGCGAAGCAGGCCUCGAGAUGAGUUCUCACUAGACUUUUAAAGUCUCUGAAGGGCCGUUGAAGACUACAACGUUGAUAGGCAAGAUGUGGAAGUGGUGUGAGCCAUUAAGCUAACUUGUACUAAUUACCCGUGAGGCUUAACCAU
rnacentral:rRNA from 1 species